GAGAAACUUGGAAUAAAAUCUCACAAUCGCUCCCAUAGGAGGAAGCUGAAAGCAUCAAGAUAGUUACUGCUCAGUCAGAUGCUCAUCUCAGAAAGUGUCUGAACAGUUUGACUGGGGUUGGGUGGACUUUUUAAAAUGUCCACAUGAUGUGCACAUGGUCUUGAGCUUCUGUGGCUUUUGUCAGUAUGGCGUUUCCUUUCCCCGCCCUGGCUGUGCACAUUGCAGGGCAGUGUCAGCGCCUGCAGCCGCACAGUGAACCCUCCCAACCUGCCCCACUCAUCAGGCAGGAUUAUCAGGAGCAGGCGGUCUGGCUGGAUUUUGAGUUGGGGCCCACCUGCACCUGCAGGGAAUUACUGUUUUCUGACUCUCAUGCCAGGUACCUCCCUGGGAGAUUCUCAGGCAGGUGGGUCCCUGAACCCGGGCGUUUCCUCGGCCCUCUCUCUGCAGCGUGGUGUUCCUUUAUUGCGGUGUAUUCUGUUCUCUCUCCUUUUAGGAGAGGAGCUUGAGACUGGGGGGAGCCGGGUUAAGUUUGAGAUGUGCUUCCCACAUCCAAGCAGAGGAGGCUGUUAGAUGCUCUGUUAGUGACCUGUCGCUGCCUGGCAAAUGACCCCUAAACAUACCAGUUUAAAACAAGGCGUAGUUUAGUAUUUCAGUUUCUGGGCUCAGCGUCUGCAUGUGGUUCAGCUGGUUCUGUGGCUCAGGUCUCCCCUUCACAGCUUUGGGCUGAGGGCCUCAGGUCCUCACUGGCCGUUGGCCAGAGGCCACACCCAGCCCCUCACCACGUGGACCUCUCUUCAGGGCAGUGCGGGGCAGGCAGCCGCCCGUACUGCCCGCAGAGGGAGCAGGGCGGCUCGGGGGGGGACCCAACACAGAAACCACGUCUUGUCGCUUUGGCCAUAUUUAAUUUGUCAGCAGCAAGUCACUGGAUGGAGCCCCUGCUCAAGGGGAGGGAGACCCCAGGACCAUGAGCAUCAUCCCAGAGGCUGCCCCGGGAUGAAGGAUGUGAGCCUGGGGUUCCUGGCAGAGGCUGGGAGCUGCCGGCCGCUUAGAGACCAGCUGCCCGGAGUGAACGGCUAGACCAGAGAAGAGCUCGGAGGCCUGAGCCUUGAGGGAUGUGGAGAGGAAUAAGCAAAGGAGCACCAGGAGGGCUAGCGAGGUCAGGGGUGGGGGCGCUGUGAGGGAUCAGAGAGGCCCAGUGGGACACGACUGGAGGGGCCGAUGGAGGACAGGACAAGGUGAGGGGCAGGGGAGCCAGCCACAUCCCCAGGGCGCUCUCUGCCAUCCGCCCUUAAAGAGGUUAGGAGCCCUCGCCAAUCGCCAGCCAAUCGUGGGAACUCAGCAAGCCCUGGUCCCCACCCCCAGCAGUUUCAGUGAUGGACAGUGAGCUGGUCCUCAGCAGUCUCCCCUUUGCUUAAGGCUGGCAGGGAGUCCCGGGCAAUGGGCAGGGGGCAGGCAUACAAACCAGGAAGCCUCUGCACAAGAGGGGGAGAGGGUCGCUGCUCCCCCAUCAGUGCGCCUGGCCCUCAAGGCAAGAUGGCAGGAAGGGUUGAGUCAGCACCAGGGAGCUGCAGCUGCAGGAAGAGAGCAGUCCCCUCAGAGCGGAAUUCCUGGCCAGGCAGGCAAAUGAGAAAAGGGGCGAUUAAGCACUAGGAACAAAGGACAAUCACGACAGACAGGCAGGGAGGUGGCUGCAGGGUGUGGACGACUGUUUCCUGCCUUCCCGGCAUUCCCCAGACAAGAUGCCCGGUGUCCGUCCAUUCAUUCAGCCACUCCACAGGAAGGAAGGAUUUAUGGAACACUUUCUAUGCCUGUGGGCAUCUCCAUGGGAGCCUGGGCUUCGUAGACGGAAGUUGUUACACGCAAAGGGGAUAGUCAACACGGUCCUACUGAGCAGCACAGAGAAGUAUAUUCAGGGCCUUUUGAUGAACCAUAAAAAGGAAAAAAAUAUUUUUUAAAAGUUGUCUGUAUGUGUGUUACUCAAUCACUUUGCUGUACAGCAGAAAUUAACACAACAGUGUAAAUCAAUUCUACUUCCGUUCAAAAAAAGGAAUUCAGGAGUUCUUGUUGUGUUGCAGCAGAAACGAAUCCGACUAGUACCCGUGAGGACGCGCUUCGAUCCCUGGCCUCACUUAGUAGGUCAGGGAUCCGGCAUUGCCAUGAGCUGUGGUGUAGGUUGCAGAUGCUGCUGUGGCUGUGACAUAAGCCAGCAGCUGCAGCUCCAAUUCGACCCCUAGCCUGGGAACUUCCAUAUGCUGUGGAUGUGGCCCUAAAAAGCAAAAAAAAGAAAAAAGAAAUAAAAUAAUUCAACAUAAUGAAUUAAAACACAAAACAAAAACAAAAAUGAGCAAGCAGAAUGUGACAAUGGUCUUGCCUUGGGGAGCUUAGAGUCUAGAGGAGGAGGCAGACAGAAUGCCACACAGCUUCAUAAACGUUAGGGCAGUGCUGACCGACAAAACCUAUUUCUCGACCCAACAUUUGCCAGCCCCUUGGAGCCUUCUUAACGGUGCCUCAACACUGGUCCUUGUGCUGUCCUUGCAUCACCCCGUUGUAGCAAGAAUCUCGCUGAACUUGUAUAGGGAGACUCCCUACCCUUGAUAUCUCAUCACCCAAGAUGUCUAAUUGAAUUCCUCACCCCCACCCCUGAGACCUGAUGACACUGGCCUGCCUUCAGCUAGAAUCCUAUUAAAUCAGUUUAGCCAAAAGCCCUGCCCUCGAUGUCCCCUCUGAGUAAUUUCCAGCCACCGACCCUCCUACUCUGCUCAUUGGCCAUAACCCCCCCUUGUCUUUGUGUUGGGCAUUGAGCCUGAUCUCCUCAUCUCAGCGCCUAUUGCAAUGAUCCAGAGUACAUCCUCCUUACCAUGGUAACAAGGGUCAGAAUAAGCUUUUCUUUCACCUGCCUCCUGUGAAGGGGGGAUACUCUGUGCUGUGGGAGCAAAUGAAUAGGGGGUCUGACCUUGUCAGGGAGGUCAAGAAAGGCUUGACCGAGGAACAGUGCUUAAGCUGGGAUCUAACAUCCCCAGGUGAAAGGAUGGGAAGAAGGAUGUUGAAAAUUGUCCAAAACUUGGAACUAAAGCAAGAGGAUGAGUGCAUGCCCUUUCAGGGUUAAAUUGGAACAGUGUCGCAAAGGCCCCUGCUAGAAUCAUCAAGGGGAACAUACCUAGUCUGACCUACUCUUAAGUCGUGAUUAGGGCCCAAGCUUUGUGAAGUUAGGAGUUAAUUUGUAGACAGUCACUCAGCGGCAAAUGACUUUUUUUCCCCCCCCAUCUAGCAGAGAUGCAAACAUUUCUGUCCAGGUGAAAAGAUGACCUCAAAGCUUACUGUUACGUCACCCUGUAGGAUAGUAACUGGCUUUGUGCCUAACUUGGCAAACUUAUUUCAACAUUACCAUCCUUGGACAGCAGAGAAACUUCCAUUCCACACAUGCUCUCUGGACCUGUUUUCGACAGUGAGGCACUUGCUCUCCAUCCACCAGGUUCAAAGCCUCGCUGCCCUUGGUGGCCUUUCUCCCUCUCCUUCCCUGGCCAGUCAGUUACUAAGUUCCUCCAGCCCUUUCUUCAGCCUCGACUCUGAGAACUGCCCCUUCCUUUCUGUCCCCAUGGUCACCACCCUUUCCAGGUGCCUGAAUCCAUGAGGGUUUAUCAUGAUUCUUCCAGUUUUCAGGCUCUUGCCUCUCUAAUCCAUUCCCAUAUGUUUUUGCCAGAUUCGUCUUGCUUAUAAAAAUGCUGCUUUCACUUGUCACCACCCUGUUUAAAGUCCUCCAGUGCAUCCACAGGUACAACUCAGCUUCAUCUCUGGCCUUUCAGAAGCUUUGCACAGGAAGGGCUGAGUAAGGUGCUGGUUGGGUAUAUUUUCUGCUUCUGGGAAUCUUCAGGGGGCCUCUUCUCACCCUUGGCGCUCCCCAUCCAGUGGGAUCUAAGCACAGCUUGCCAAGCCAUGAGACUCGCUACUUAACUGUCAGCCCAUGAGUGGCACUGGAUUCAUGGCAGCCAGCACUGGCCUGGCAUCAAUAUCUGCCUAACAGGAACAGCUGUGCUGGAUGGAGGCCCCGGACCAGUGUGCUCCUCUCCUGGGAGAGGGCAGGGCGGUGGAGGAGAGCCAGCAAGGGGCGCAGGAUGAGUCACCACUCUGGAGUACGGGCAUGGCAGCCAUAGGGACAGCAAGGUGACAGUGCUGCCAGGGCCACACUGUGACCUGCAUGACCUUGUGACGCAUUAGCCAUGCAAGUCUUUUAUUUUCUGUAGUCGGAUGCUUUGACAUCGGGGCUUGCUGACCCCACAGGGGCUGACCUUUCUCAGAGUUAGUCUAGACCUAGAGCUAGUGAAUAACCCAUCCGGGGACACGCUUCCCAAAGGCAAACCAACCAGUCCCGAGCCCACAGCCCACCACCUCCUAGUAGCUGUCACACUCUGGGCCACUAGCGCCCUGCCCUAAUCACCUAGGGUCAGGAACCAGACCACUAGGGACAGCCCUAUGCCCAGGGCUGCUGAAAUUAGUCAAAGCAGCCAACCCCAAACCCUGUCCCCUUCCUCACCCUUUCCCUCUGCAUACACCAUAAUAAAGGCUCCUGGCCCAGCUCUCCCCGUCCUCUGCCUCCUGACUGGCCCUGGUGCCUCCCCAUGAGGCCCUGUGUGCUGUGGCGCCCCCUCCUCUUGGGAGCGCUGAGGGACACUCAUCUGAUCUGCACCUCAGAUUUUCUGUUAACACACUAGCCUGUCAACUACCCUCCUAUCUGUGUGGAGCUUGGCAGUGUGGCUGUCCCUGUUUUUCUCAGAGGCAGGGCUGUGCGUGUCCCCCUAUCCCUACAUCUCAGACCCCUUUGCUUAAGGUAAACUAAGUGGCUCUGUCCCAUGAAAUCCAAAAAAGCCAACAACAGAGAUUCCAGAUCUGACCUGUACCUACUUCUCGCACCUGUUCUCCCUUGAUGCUUCUCAGACCCUUCAGCUGCACCCACAUGGGGUACCUUUUUAUUCUUGAAUGUUCCUGUUUUCCACACCUGGUCCAUCCGAGGUCUCCUUCAGGAACGCCCUCCUCCUCCCCUCUGAUGGCUAAGUCUACCCUCCUUCGAGGCCCAGCUCAGCGAGCCUCACCUCUCCAUCACGGUGGCCCUGUCCUCCCCUGGACACAGGGGACCCCUGUGGCCGGGCCCUUGGUAAACGGCCUGGGCCCCUCCCAUGAUCGGCACUGACCGCUCCAGGUUCCGGAGUCAUCUCUCCCAGGGUCUUACAUUCUCUUGGUUCAGGGCCCGAAGGCUUGGUUUUGUGCGAUGACAGGAUGCAUUUGAUAUCAACUGCAUCCUCCACAUCUUCCUACUCAUGGAGUUGGGGUAGGAAAUCCCCAGAUGUGACGCAGUUGUCACCGUGUUGAGCCAGGGUCUGGCCAGGAGGGGAAGCCAGGCAUCCAUCGGCUCACCUCUUCCUCCUGGUCUAAGCCACCUGGGGGUGGGGCUGCCUGUCCCCAGCGUCCCUGGACAGAGAGCCUGCCUUCUCUUGACACUUCCUUGCACCCUGGAAGACCUCACUUUCUUGAAUGCCCCGUGAGGCCUGAGAAGGAAGGUGAAAUGUCAUGAAACGAGAGAGGAACUAGAGGGGGCCCUGGGCCACCUACAGGGACCUGGGGACUCUCUCCUGCGUGGAGGCUGGGGCUUGGGUG
ensembl:lncRNA